rnacentral:tRNA from 1 species
UGAAUAAAAGCUUUGUUGUGAGAGCGUUCGGUUGUUAACCGGAAGGAGUAAAAAAAAUUACUUAUUCGA